rnacentral:lncRNA from 1 species
AGGAAUCCCAUUUAUUUCUAUUUAAUCUCCUUUGAAAUAGAAAAUCACUGAAAGAAGACCAUAAUAAAGUGGUCUUUUGCGGAGUCUGCUCUGGUCAGGAAAAUUAUAACUGCAUUUCAAAGGUAAAUAUUCUCAAGAAAAUAACACGUUUGAUAAUUAAUUCGGGAAUUUACACAGUGAUGCAUUGAGGGAUUGAUAAAUUUUUUUUUUUUAAAUGUGUUAUAUCUAGGUUUAAUAUUUUCUGCUGUUUAUUAGAAUGAAAGAAUUUCAUGUCAAUAUUGUUUUCAAUUACGUGGCUUCUUGUUUAUUCAUUAUCUGUGAUGUUUAUUUUAUUUUCAAUUGUUCAUGGAAUUAGCUCGUAUGAAGUUUCUAGGUUGAUGUGUCAUUGAUGGACUUCUGGUCACUGGUGCAUGCGCGUUUAUUUUCAAGGAAAAGGUGCUUAUUUUUGUUUUUCUGGGUUCAGAAGUAAAGUAAGACUUCUGUUUGAAUUGUUAUGGGACCACAUGAGACGGCUGUACCAACCCCAGUAUUAUCUUUUAACGUUACAUUUGAAAUGUUGAUCAAUCAAUUAUUUUGCGAAUUAUAUAUUGACUCUUAUUGAUCCUGGUUUCUCUAAAAAUUCUGCUAUUGGGUAAUCUUGGAGUUUAGGGGGAAAUUAUGAAGUUAGGCGUUUCUUUUUCUGAUUUUGUUACUUUUUAGUUAUCCAGCCUUUCACUAAUUUUAUUCUCAGGUGGGGGGGUCCGAGUUAAUUGGUUCUUGCAAGACAUCUCGCCAGUUACGUGAGUAGUUGUUUGCAUCAAGUCUAGAUUUAAGUGAAAUAUACACUUCAACAUGUCGAGGCCACUGGAUUACGAGAAUUUGAAUGAAAAUGUUAAGAAAUGUCAGUAUGCUGUUCGAGGUGAGCUGUAUCUUCGGGCUUCUGAGCUUCAGAAGGAGGGUAAAAAGGUAUGUUUGGCUAAGUUAGUCACAUA